AGCGAACGCUGGCGGCAGGCCUAACACAUGCAAGUCGAACGAUCCUUCGGGAUAGUGGCGGACGGGUGAGUAACACGUGGGAACGUACCUUUAGGUUCGGGAUAACUCAGGGAAACUUGAGCUAAUACCGGAUAAGCCCUUCGGGGAAAGAUUUAUCGCCUUUAGAGCGGCCCGCGUUAGAUUAGCUAGUUGGUGAGGUA
rnacentral:rRNA from 1 species